rnacentral:rRNA from 1 species
CCUACGGGUGGCAGCAGUGAGGAAUAUUGGUCAAUGGGCGUAAGCCUGAACCAGCCAAGUCGCGUGAGGGAUGAAGGGUCGAUGGAUCGUAAACCUCUUUUAUAAGGGAAUAAAGUGCGGGACGUGUCCCGGUUUGUAGGUACCUGAUGAAUAAGGAUCGGCUAACUCCGUGCUAGCCGCCGCGGUUAGACGGAGGAUCCGAGCGUUAUCCGGAUUUAUUGGGUUUAAAGGGUGCGUAGGCGGCCUUUUAAGGUCGCGGUGAAAGUCUGUGGCUCAAACAUAGAAGUGCCGGUGAAACGGGGAGUCUUGAGUAUGUUUGAGGCAGGCGGAAUGCGUGGUGUAGCGGUGAACUGCUUAGAUAUCACGCAGAACCCCGAUUGCGAAGGCAGCCUGCCAAGCCAUGACUGACGCUGAUGCACGAAAGCGUGGGGAUCAAACAGGAUUAGAUACCCCGGUAGUC